rnacentral:rRNA from 1 species
GACGUAGGGCGCGAGCGUUGUCCGGAUUUAUUGGGCGUAAAGAGCUCGUAGGCGGCUUGUCGCGUCGACCGUGAAAACUCACAGCUCAACUGUGAGCCUGCGGUCGAUACGGGCAGGCUAGAGUUCGGUAGGGGAGACUGGAAUUCCUGGUGUAGCGGUGAAAUGCGCAGAUAUCAGGAGGAACACCGGUGGCGAAGGCGGGUCUCUGGGCCGAUACUGACGCUGAGGAGCGAAAGCGUGGGGAGCAAACAGG